rnacentral:tRNA from 1 species
GAUCCCUUAGUCCAAACAGGAAAGGAUAUCAGGCUUUCAACCUGAACACACGGGUUCGAGUCCCGUAGGGAUUACCA